GUGCCAGCCAGCCGGGUAAUACGUAGGUGGCAAGCGUUGUCCGGAUNUUAUUGAGGCGUAAAGCGAGCGCAGGCGGUUUCUUAAGUCUGAUGUGAAAGCCCCCGGCUCAACCGGGGAGGGUCAUUGGAAACUGGGAGACUUGAGUGCAGAAGAGGAGAGUGGAAUUCCAUGUGUAGCGGUGAAAUGCGUAGAUAUAUGGAGGAACACCAGUGGCGAAGGCGGCUCUCUGGUCUGUAACUGACGCUGAGGCUCGAAAGCGUGGGGAGCAAACAGGAUUAGAUACCCUGGUAGUCCACGCCGUAAACGAUGAGUGCUAAGUGUUGGAGGGUUUCCGCCCUUCAGUGCUGCAGCUAACGCAUUAAGCACUCCGCCUGGGGAGUACGACCGCAAGGUUGAAACUCAAAGGAAUUGACGGGGGCCCGCACAAGCGGUGGAGCAUGUGGUUUAAUUCGAAGCAACGCGAAGAACCUUACCAGGUCUUGACAUCCUUUGACCACUCUAGAGAUAGAGCUUCUCCUUCGGGGGCAAAGUGACAGGUGGUGCAUGGUUGUCGUCAGCUCGUGUCGUGAGAUGUUGGGUUAAGUCCCGCAACGAGCGCAACCCUUAUUGUUAGUUGCCAUCAUUCAGUUGGGCACUCUAGCAAGACUGCCGGUGACAAACCGGAGGAAGGUGGGGAUGACGUCAAAUCAUCAUGCCCCUUAUGACCUGGGCUACACACGUGCUACAAUGGGAAGUACAACGAGUUGCGAAGUCGCGAGGCUAAGCUAAUCUCUUAUAGCUUCUCUCAGUUCGGAUUGCAGGCUGCAACUCGCCUGCAUGAAGCCGGAAUCGCUAGUAAUCGCGGAUCAGCACGCCGCGGUGGAUACGUUCCCGGGUCUUGUACACACCGCCCGUCACACCAUGGGAGUGGGUUUCACCAGAAGUAGGUAGCCUAACCGUAAGGAGGGCGCUUACCACGGUGGGAUUCAUGACUGGGGUGAAGUCGUAACAAGGUAACCG
rnacentral:rRNA from 1 species